rnacentral:lncRNA from 1 species
AGAUGUCGUUUACUUAAAUACCAAACGAAAAAUGGAAGCCAAAAGCUUGCACCUCAUGUCCUGUCUCUAAAGGAAUCAGAGAGGAUGGCAUGUUGAGUAGAAGGCUUUUACUUUACCCGGAUGAAAGUUUAAAUCUUUAUUUUUAUUGACUUGGCUUCAUUUUUAGACAUUUCUCUAAAAUAUAAAUAUAAUGGUGAUGUAGGUUAUCACUCUCACACUUAAGCUAGAGCACGAUGUUCCUCUGAGAACAUCCGUAAGGAAAUGUGUUCAAGAGAGGAAAAGAUGUCUAAAUCUGCCAGUUUUUCUGUGGUGUAAUAUUCAAGACGGUUUCUCUUCACCAUGGAGGAACUUUUCCAUGGGGUUUGCAUGACUUGGAGUACAGGACUCAACCAGAAGCAUAUCCGCUAUCAGUUCAGGGAGCUUCGAAGGCUUCCUUCAGUGGAGUGGGGAUUAAAACAAAACAAAACUCC